rnacentral:tmRNA from 1 species
AUCCUUGAGGUCGCGGACGAAAAUCCCUAUCUGAUCCGCGUCGGGGUGACCCGGCUAUGUCGGUAGACUGUUAGGUGGAAUAGACACUUCGGACCCGGGGGGCAGUACCCCGGCGCCUCCACCAUCAGCCCCCGCGACGCGGGAGUUGUUGAUGGGGGCGAAAUAGGAUCGACGAGUGCAAUAAAGGCCUGAUUGCCGAUCGGUAUGAGACCACCGCAACGGCUCAUUUCACAAGUGCCAACGAUAACGAGGCACUCGCUAUUGCCGCGUAACUGACGUCCUAACGGACAGACGUUACAAAGCUUAAGCGCGGUCGGACCCCACCGGGCAACAGAAGGGGAUUCCAGCGGCACGGGGGACGCCGGGCAACAGAAGUCCCCCACC